AGAUAUCCUCAUCAUGAUGAAGCUGAUUCUGUCUCUCACUCUCAUCUGGACUCUCUCCAGCACAGCUGAAGCUCUUCAGUGUUGGGAGGGUUUAGUUGGAACACCAGAGUUACGUCCAUGUGCCUCUACUACUGAGUGGUGUGCCACUGUUGCCUCACAAGGAUAUGUGAAUGGGAAUCUCCAUCAGGCCACCGGCAGGUCCUG